CCUCCUUCUCCUUCUCCUUCUUCUUUUCUUCUUCUUCUCCUCUUCCUUCUCCUUCUCCUCCUCCUCCUCCUCCUCCUCCUUCUUUUACUUCUUCUUCUCUUUCUCUUCUUCUACGUAGCUUAGACUUAUCCAAGAAAGCCUAAAUUGGCUAAUUAUCCAUCUAAAUGACAUAAUUAGGUUAGUUAGCUCCAAAAUGACCUAUUUAAUAAAAAAUGACCUAUAC
rnacentral:lncRNA from 1 species